UUCGGAUUGUAGUCUGCAACCCGACUACAUGAAGCCGGAAUCGCUAGUAAUCGCGGAUCAGAAUGCCGCGGUGAGUACGUUCCCGGGUCUUGUACACACCGCCCGUCACACCAUGGGAGUUGGAAAUGCCCGAAGUCAGUGGCCCAACCGGAAGGGGGGAGCUGCCGAAGGCAGGUUCGAUGACUGGGGUGAAGUCGUAACAAGGUACC
rnacentral:rRNA from 1 species